rnacentral:rRNA from 1 species
AGGACGAACGCUGGCGGCGUGCCUAACACAUGCAAGUCGCACGAGUCCACCUCGCAAGGGGUGAGGCGAGUGGCGGACGGGUGAGUAACACGUGAGCAAUCUGUCCCGGUGCGGGGGGACAACCCGGGGGAAACUCGGGCUAAUACCGCAUGGUCGGCCGGAACAGAAGUUCUGGUCGGGAAAGGUGGCCUCUUUACAAUGCUACCGUGCCGUGGAGGAGCUCGCGGGCUAUCAGCUAGUUGGUGCGGUGACGGCGCACCAAGGCAACGACGGCUACGGGGUCUGAGAGGACGACCCCGCACAUUGGAACUGAGACACGGUCCAGACUCCUACGGGAGGCAGCAGUGGGAAUUUUGGGCAAUGGCCGAAAGGCUGACCCAGCGACGCCGCGUGCGGGAGGAAGCCCUUCGGGGUGUAAACCGCUGUCAGAGGGACGAAAGAGGCGGGGGAAUAGUUCCGUUGCGAGUGACGGUACCGUACAAAGGAGCACCGGCUAACUCUAGUGCCAGCACGCCGACGGUAAUCGUAGA